GGAGAGAUGCGAGAGCGGCUGAAUCGGGCGGUCUCGAAAACCGUUAAACCCUUAUGGGUUUCGAGGGUUCGAAUCCCUCUCUCUCCGCAA
rnacentral:tRNA from 1 species